rnacentral:rRNA from 1 species
CACUCCUACGGGAGGCAGCAGUGGGGAAUAUUGCACAAUGGGCGCAAGCCUGAUGCAGCCAUGCCGCGUGUAUGAAGAAGGCCUUCGGGUUGUAAAGUACUUUCAGCGGGGAGGAAGGCAAUACGGUUAAUAACCGUGUUGAUUGACGUUACCCGCAGAAGAAGCACCGGCUAACUCCGUGCCAGCAGCCGCGGUAAUACGGAGGGUGCAAGCGUUAAUCGGAAUUACUGGGCGUAAAGCGCACGCAGGCGGUCUGUCAAGUCGGAUGUGAAAUCCCCGGGCUCAACCUGGGAACUGCAUUCGAAACUGGCAGGCUUGAGUCUUGUAGAGGGGGGUAGAAUUCCAGGUGUAGCGGUGAAAUGCUUAGAGAUCUGGAGGAAUACCGGUGGCGAAGGCGGCCCCCUGGACAAAGACUGACGCUCAGGUGCGAAAGCGUGGGGAGCAACCAGGAUUAGAAACCCCUGUAGUCC